ensembl:ncRNA Y48B6A.19 ncRNA
AAAACAAAUCAACAAGUCCACAUACACACAUCUUGACACCUUCCCUGUUGGUGGGUGGAUGCAAAUGGGACGCCCGUCUUCGUCUUCGAGCACUAAAAGCCAUCAGUAGUGGUCCGUCCGUUUUUCUCACA